GAAUGGAAGUGUCUACAAUUGGGUUUUUGUGGAAUAUCAAUUCACGUUCUUCGCAGGUUUAAAUUUAAAAAAAAAAUAGAACACAGAAAAUGUGGCAAGCGCGAUUGAACAGUGAAUCGCUGCUGGUGCCUAUCUUUUAUAUCCAAUCGAAGUCAGUGGCUGUUCAGGCGUGAGCCAUUUAGCAGUGCAGCAAUAAGCCGUACAGAGCAGAAAAAGGAGGAACACAAGCACCUACCCAGAGAAGGACUCCGCUAAGCUGCUUUGCAUAUAGGUCAAGGAGCUGGUUAAAUACAAUCUUUUUGAGUGGUCAUUGGCUUCAAUUCUCUGGACAAAAAAGUUAAAGUUAAAGUUGGAUAACAAUUAAUCUCAAGUUUUUGUAUAUUUUUUGAAAUGAAUAGAUUAUACGAGCUUUGAAGCAAAUGCAAAAGAUAUAAGUCUAAGAGUUUUUACUUUGUUGUGUUUGAGACUAUUUAAAGUCUUGUCAAAGGAUUACAAUCUAUACAUACAAGAUGUUUAAUUGUUUCCCAAUGGACAUACCCGCCCAUAUAUAUAGCUGAUGCGUAACUUCCUGACAAAAGAGAUUUGUCUUCAAGCCAGGCCAAAGUAGGAAUAAGUACAACCAAGAGAGCAAUAGCAUAGAUAGUCGGUAAUAGAUGACUAUGGAAGAAUCUUGGCGGGACAAUGCUUAAUGCAAUACAUUAAAAUCUGUAAAAGAAAUUAACAAAAUGUUAAAUUCAUUCGUCCAAGGACAGCGGUCAGGAGGAGACAGUGACUUCCGUUUAAAUUUAAUGUUGCUUCCGCAUUCUCCUUCUGUUUCGGAUACAAUGCGGCAUGCAAGAAUAUAUAGCGAGAAAUUUCAUUUAACGAAUGAAUGCAUGGAAAUGGAUAUGGUUGUCGGAAUGCAUCCCUCGCAUGUCGAAAAUCUAAAAAGUAUCUUAUAACUGUACUCUACUGCUAUGCGCUGUGUUAAUAUCCAGAAAGCCAUUUGAAACUUAUUUGUAUUUAUUUAAAACUGUUCUAGGGUAAUUAAAUAGGUUCAGAUGCUUUUCUUCUUUCAAAAUGGGUGUUUAGAGGCAGAAAAUCCCAUGUACUUAGAAACACUCCUUCGCACAGAUUCUUUUGAUGCUUUCAGAGGGGACUAUACGAGUAAUGUAAUGUGUGUCUGAAAUUCUUUUUGAAUUAUUUAUGAAGCCAGCCAGCCGUCGUUGGAAAAUAAAUGCUGAAUUAAGCUCCAACUCAACCAAACCCUACAGGGGAAUCAUCAAAUGAUAAUAUGGUAUAAUUUGCUCGGGGAACUUGUGUGUGAUUUUCAUCGCAUUGAGCCUCACUUAUUUAGGCAAUUAGCCAUAACCAUUGAGUGAAUUAAUGGUCGGCAUGAGGACUGUGGGGCAGAAUCAUCAAACAUGCAUUCGUCAUGUGCAAAAUUGGGAUAAUACAUUCUUCCCUAUGGGGCAGUCAACAGAUUUGUUGCUCCUCUGGGAGUCUAACGUUUUGUAAGCACACGCGUACGCAUUUAAUGCGAUUUAAAUGU